rnacentral:lncRNA from 1 species
CAUAUAAAAUCUUGAAAAUAGUGUUUACAAGCAUUCCUGUUAUCAAUCAUUGAAUAAAAAUAUGAUAACCACCCCUGCUUUUUUAACCUGAUCAAAUCAUCUAACCUAAUCAAAUCAUCUAACCUGCAGCAACUGUAAGUCUUGAAAGCCUGAACCUAAUAUAAAUAAUACCCAGUAUUGGGUGGCCAUGUAACAGAAAAUGAAGUAAAAUUUCAAUAUCUGGCCAGAUAUGAUAUCCAUUACAUCCCUAGUUAUUUGUUAUGUUUCUUUGUCUUGAAAUGCCGAACGACUUUACUUGUUAAGGUGAGAGUGUUGGUAUGACUGUACAGUAUAUUUGUAUUCAACAUACUUAUUUAAUAUGCACCAUUUGUACCCUUUUAUAGUUAACCCUCGGAUGUAUAAUGGCUUCCUUUUCACAUGCACUGGGAGAUCGGCAGACCCACCAAAACAAGACCGGCAAGCAAGGAGACCGGCUGACCCACCAAAACAAGUCAGGCAAGCAU